rnacentral:rRNA from 1 species
GACGAACGCUGGCGGCGUGCCUAAUACAUGCAAGUAGAACGCAGUUGCGAACGGGUGAGUAACGCGUAGGUAACUGCCUGGUAGCGGGGGAUAACUAUUGGAAACGAUAGCUAAUACCGCAUACUACCAGCUGGACCUGCGUUGUAUUAGCUAGUUGGUGAGGUAACGGCUCACCAAGGCAACGAUACAUUGCCGACCUUGGAGGGUGGUCGGCCACACCGGGAAUGGGACACGGCCCAGACUCCUACGGGAGGCAGCAGGAGGGGAUCUUCGGAAAAGGGGGGAACCCUGACCGAGCAACGCCGCGGGAGUGAAGAAGGUUUUCGGAUCGUAAAGCUCUGUUGUGAAGGAAGCGGUACUUAACCAGAAAGGGACGGCUAACUACGUGCCAGCAGCCGCGGUAAUUC